AAUGGCGAACGAAAACUUCAGAAGCGUAAAUGAAAUCUUCAGAAUCGUAAACGAAAACUUUAGAAGCGUAAAUGAAAACUCUGGAAGUGCAUUUGUAAGUACAGAUCAACGAAUGAAAGAUGAGAAAACAGUUGCAAAACCUGCAGUGUAUUAAAAACGAGGUCAAAGAUUUUGCCUGUAAUUUAUUUAUUUUUUAGUUUCAAAGACAUUUUAUUCAGUUUCACUUGAUAUUUUCAUACGUUUCUUUAAAAAUUACAUUCAUUUUAUUUGGCACAAAUCUAAUUCCAUACCAUUCGAACAAGUCUGCGUGAGCGCGCGAUGUUUGAAGAGACCCGAGACCGGUUGAUGAUGCACGCGAUGGAUUUGGAAAACAUCAUGAAACGGUGUUCAUGGAGUUCUACAGGAUUGUGGGCAAGAAUCUCAAGCAGUCAUCUAACUGAGAUAUUUCAGUCUAAAGAGAGAAUGUUGGGCAGCUGUUGACCGCUUUCACAAAAAAUCAAGACCAGAGCCAUAGAGAGACAGAGUUGCGACAACGGAAGUUCAGAACGCUCGAUCGUCACGUGGUUCACGUAGACCUCAACAGUUCCAGGAAGUUCAUAGCGGGCAAUUGGAAUGCAUUGAGUUAGUGACUAUAGUGAGACAGAACUGCGAUUUUUGGCAAUUAGUAGACAAUAAAAUACUUUAUUUACAUUAUUUAUAAAAUAAUGUAUACGUAGUAUAUGUAGCUGUAUCAGUGUUGUUUUUAAAAUAUAAAAUUCGUUCAUAUUUGAGGAUUAAUGUGGUCAGCUGUCCUUACCUGCCAUGUUAACACAUUUUAGGCUGACGUUACCAUAGUAAAAGCCCAUGUUUGCUAUAUAAACAACAUCGUGGUCUUUUACCAAGUAACUUCAGCCUCUCUGUAUAAAUAUAAUUGUGUGUGUGUUUUCUAACAACUUGUUAGUCAAGUGCAAUCACAUCUUUAUGUUCAUUGUCGUUUUAUUAAUCUCAUGGUAAAUGUUAAAUUUGUUGUCUUUGAAAAUUCAUUCCAAAUAAGUGAAGAUAUUUUAAGAUUAAGUGGGAAUUAAUCUCUUUUAAUGUUUUUGAUUCUUGUGCACCCCUCCAUUAUUAAUAUAUAAAUAUAUAUUUGUAGUAUAUUCAAAUUUAAAAUAACUUAAAACAUUUUUACCCAUUUAAUCAUAUAUUUGAUGCAUGUUAACUUUUGUUAUGCACUUAUUUACAUGCUAUAAAGCAUGUCCUUGAACGGUCUCCACUAUAGUUUGCUGUGCUGCAUGGGAGCGCUCCAGUCUCACAGAAAGGAGUAUGAAUGUAUGGUUUCCCUACUGACACGGAGAGGAGAAAAAAAUUAUGCAUCAAGUUUUGUUCAAUUCACAUUUAUUUGUAUAGCACUUUUUAUUACAAACAUUGUUUCAAAGCAGCUUUACAGAAAAUGAAUGUUUCUACAUUACAAAUAAGAGUUCUGUUAACAGAUGUAACGGUGUCAAAGUAAUGCUCAUAUGGCAGAUAUGUUCUGAAAUUAGGCUUUACAAAUCAUGCAGUUAAGUAAUGUCAUGAGUUCAGAAACAAUGAAUAAAUUAAAGCAAUGGUUACAUGAUUUGAUCAUGUUGAUUACAAUGAAAGGAAAAUUUAGCAGUUUUGUAUGUUUAUUCAGAGUCAGAGUCAGCUUCAUCUGAAGUUCACUCAAGGGCUGGCGUCAUCUCUUCACAGGUGCUGGUCAUCUGAAGUCUUCAUAAGAGGCUGGAUAUAGUCAGCAGGUGCAAUCUAUAGAUUACACCAACAAAAUGUGAUGUAAUCAUAUGGGAACUGACACUUUUUCACAAAGAACAGGGAAAGACUUGCCAAACCCAGUGAAGACUCAUUGUGAGGGUGAUUUCUCAUUACAGGGAGUCUUCAGGUGGUUCUUGUUCUGAUCCAGAUAGAGAAGGAGAAAAACACAGGAGAAAUGGUUAAUGAUGCUCCAUCACAUUUCAGUCCCGUGGAAUCUGCUCCUUCAACACAGUGCUUCUACAGUAGCUAAGACAUUUAAGUAUAAAAUACAGUACAGGUUUAUUGUGAUUACUUCUAUAAAAUAGUAGCGGUAGGCCUAUAUAAUACAUUUCUGGAAAUUUAGCCUAGCAUGAUUCUGAAAUGAAAACUGAAUUUUUAUUCUCACUCAGGUCCAUCAGCAUCCUUUGCAAUAAAUCUAAAUAUAUUAAAUAACUUCCCAGCAGCAGAAAUCACGUUUAAAAGCCUUAAUUACACAACAACGAAUGAAACUGCCCGAAGAGAAUGAAUAACAUCCCGUAAAUCUACUAAUUAAGUGAGGAAUAAUCUAAUAAUAAUCUGUUUUAAUGCACAAGGUAAUUUGAUUAGCUGUGCUGAUAAUAUACAAUUUUGUUCU